rnacentral:rRNA from 1 species
GACGAACCGUGCGAACGUUGUUCGGAAUCACUGGGCUUAAAGGGCGCGUAGGCGGGUCAGCCAGUCCGGGGUGAAAUCCUUCGGCUUAACCGGAGAACUGCCUCGGAGACGACUGAUCUGGAGGGAGGUAGGGGUCGCUGGAACUUCCGGUGGAGCGGUGAAAUGCGUUGAUAUCGGAAGGAACGCCGGUGGCGAAAGCGAGCGACUGGACCUUUACUGACGCUGAGGCGCG